CUACGGGCGGCUGCAGUGGGGAAUAUUGCACAAUGGGCGCAAGCCUGAUGCAGCCGUGCCGCGUGUGUGAAGAAGGCCUUCGGGUUGUAAAGCACUUUCAGCGGGGAGGAAGGCGUUAAGGUUAAUAACCUUGUCGAUUGACGUUACCCGCAGAAGAAGCACCGGCUAACUCCGUGCCAGCAGCCGCGGUAAUACGGAGGGUGCAAGCGUUAAUCGGAAUUACUGGGCGUAAAGCGCACGCAGGCGGUCUGUCAAGUCGGAUGUGAAAUCCCCGGGCUCAACCUGGGAACUGCAUUCGAAACUGGCAGGCUAGAGUCUUGUAGAGGGGGGUAGAAUUCCAGGUGGAGCGGUGAAAUGCGUAGAGAUCUGGAGGAAUACCGGUGGCGAAGGCGGCCCCCUGGACAAAGACUGACGCUCAGGUGCGAAAGCGUGGGGAGCAAACAGGAUUAGAUACCCGUGUAGUC
rnacentral:rRNA from 1 species